GACGAACGCUGGCGGCGUGCCUAAUACAUGCAAGUAGAACGCUGAAGGAGGAGCUUGCUCUUCUGGAUGAGUUGCGAACGGGUGAGUAACGCGUAGGUAACCUGCCUGGUAGCGGGGGAUAACUAUUGGAAACGAUAGCUAAUACCGCAUAAGAGUAGAUGUUGCAUGACAUUUACUUAAAAGGUGCAAUUGCAUCACUACCAGAUGGACCUGCGUUGUAUUAGCUAGUUGGUGGGGUAACGGCUUACCAAGGCGACGAUACAUAGCCGACCUGAGAGGGGGAUCGGCCACCCUGGGACUGAGACACGGCCCAGACUCCUACGGGAGGCAGCAGUAGGGCAUCUUCGGCAAUGGACGGAAGUCUGACCGAGCAACGCCGCGUGAGUGAAGAAGGUUGUCGGAUCGUAAAGCUCUGUUGUAAGAGAAGAACGAGUGUGAGAGUGGAAAGUUCACACUGUGACGGUAGCUUACCAGAAAGGGACGGCUAACUACGUG
rnacentral:rRNA from 1 species